rnacentral:tRNA from 1 species
AGCCGGGUCGUCUAGCGGCCAAGGAUGCGGGGCUCUGGUCCCUUGGGCCGAGGGGGAGUGCCCCCGUGACCGGGGUUCGAAUCCCCGCCCGGCUA